rnacentral:rRNA from 1 species
GAUGAACGCUGGCGGCGUGCCUAAUACAUGCAAGUCGAGCGAACAGACGAGGAGCUUGCUCCUCUGACGUUAGCGGCGGACGGGUGUGUAACACGUGGUUAACCUACCUUUAAGACUGGGUUAACUUCGGGAAACCGGCGCUAAUACCGGAUAAUCUAUUGAACCGCAUGGUUCAAUAGUGAAAGUCGGUUUUGCUGUCACUUAUAGAUGGAUCCUCGGCGCAUUAGCCAGUUGGUAAGGUAACGGCUUACCAAGGCAACGAUGCGUAGCCGACCUGAGAGGGUGAUCGGCCACACUAGAACUGAGACACGGUCCAGACUCCUACGGGAGGCAGCAGUAGGGAAUCUUCCGCAAUGGGCGAAAGCCUGACGGAGCAACGCCGCGUGAGUGAUGAAGGUCUUCGGAUCGUAAGACUCUGUUAUUAGGGAAGAACAAAUGUGUAAGUAACUAUGCACGUCUUGACGGUACCUAAUCAGAAAGCCACGGCUAACUACGUG